UGUCCAGUAGCACCUUAGAGACCAACUACAUUUGUUCUUGGUUUAAGCUUUCGUGUCCAUGCACAUGAAACCUUAUACCCGGAACAAACGUAGUUGGUCUCUAAGGUGCUACUGGACA